GCCGUUACUGACGCUGAGGAGCGAAAGCGUGGGGAGCGAACAGGAUUAGAUACCNUGGUAGUCCACGCCGUAAACGUNGGGCACUAGGUGUGGGGGGCCUUUUCCGGGUCUUCCGCGCNGUAGCUAACGCGUUAAGUGCCCCGCCUGGGGAGUACGGCCGCAAGGCUAAAACUCAAAGGAAUUGACGGGGGCCCGCACAAGCGGCGGAGCAUGCGGAUUAAUUCGAUGCAACGCGAAGAACCUUACCAAGGCUUGACAUGUGCCGGUCUGCUCCGGAGACGGGGUUUCCUCCCUUGUGGGGGCUGGUUCACAGGUGGUGCAUGGUUGUCGUCAGCUCGUGUCGUGAGAUGNNNNNNNNNNNNNNGCAACGAGCGCAACCCUUGUCUCGUGUUGCCAGCACGUUGUGGUGGGGACUCGCGGGAGACUGCCGGGGUCAACUCGGAGGAAGGUGGGGAUGACGUCAAAUCAUCAUGCCCCUUAUGUCUUGGGCUUCACGCAUGCUACAAUGGCCGGUACAGAGGGCUGCGAUACCGUGAGGUGGAGCGAAUCCCUUAAAGCCGGUCUCAGUUCGGAUCGGUGUCUGCAACUCGACACCGUGAAGUUGGAGUCGCUAGUAAUCGCAGAUCAGCAACGCUGCGGUGAAUACGUUC
rnacentral:rRNA from 1 species